CAGCUGAGGGGAGUUGUGUCUCCUCAGGUACCGCUGGGGCUGCGGCUGGGACGCUGGGCUCAGCGUCUCUGCUGACAGGAGCUCGGUCUCCUCAGGACUCGUUGGGGUUUCGGCUUCAGGACAACGUGGGGCUGCUUCCUCGCUGACGGGAGCUGGGUUUCCUGAGGACGCAGGCGACGCCGGCGGAUAAGGUGAUCCACAGGACCCACGACAUGGUAGCUACUAAUAUACUCUUCCCACGGUGUCUCUUAAUAUCAUGUGGACUCCUACAAGGGAAAUAAGUAUCACAACUUUGGUUGAACUUGGUCUGGUCUCAGAUUUACCUGAUGGUCACCACUCACAGUUCCCGCAGAGCCCAGAGAUUUCUCCUUGAAGGAAAGGUUCUGGAAAAUCAGAGGGAUAAAUAAAGAAUGCAGCUGAUUCCCGCCUUGUGCUGACGCCCAAGAGGGUGAGGAGAGCCAUGAGGCAUGUGGGAUCUUAGCUCCCUGCCCAGGGAUCAAACUGGCAUCCUCUGCAUUGGAAGACAAAGUCUUAACCACUGGACUGCCAGGGAAGUCCCCACAUUCCUGUAUUGCUGAACUUGAAUUUCUGAGCUAUGUCAGACUCGAAAUGCCACUAGCCAUUCUCAAAACAAUGUCUGCUGGUAGCUGCAACUGUACGUUUUCAAGGACUCCUCUCUUAACUAUUAAAUUUUAAACAAUGACGUUAGAUCAGAUACUAAUAGAAAGAUGAGACAUAUGUGUAGUGGUCAAUAGCUCCUGUUAUGGAUAUGUUAAUACUACAUCAGAAGUUAAAACCUACUUAGGUAAAAUUAGACAACUGGCUACAAAGUCUCUCCGAAGUGCCAGUUCCAGACUGGGUUUCAGACUUAUUCUCCUGAAUUCCUAAGGAAAUGAGAUCUACUUUUACUAUUAAAGUUUCAGUUGUUACCCCUCCUAUUUUAACUGGGUUGGUUGCACCAAAAUGGCAGACCAAGGGAUUGAGAUCUUAAUCAUACGAGUCUCAGAUCCAGGACUUGGAACUCAAAUAUUUGUAAUUUGGUAUCCAUUCCCCCAGAUUUAGGCAGGACGACCCCCUGCCCCCAAUUUCAGCAGGAAGUAGCCAGAGCAGUUGUUGCCCCGUUGCCUGAAAGAUGUGGGGAAAGAUAAAACUGAAGUGGGGAUUAAAACUGAGUCCCCUUAAAACCGAGGAGGAGUUAAACUGAGCGGGACUUUGUGGGUCUCCUGGGCACAGAAGCCUUUCUGCGUGCCUCCGAAGUUGUUUGUAGGGAAUAGACUAGACACUCCAGGACCUUCCCUGAGUUCCAAAGGGCAGAUUCGAACAGUUGCUAAUCAGGGAAGGGAGGGGAUGCAAAGACAGGGAGGAACAGUCAAGAAACAAUAGUGCAGCCUUGAGGCAGGGUCCUGCUUCUGCCUCAAGGGAUACACAUAACAAUAUUUUUGAGCUCCUUAAGGAACUAAAACCCCCAACAAAUGGAAGAUGUUAGCAUUCUUCAUUCCAGAGAAGCUCAUCAAGAGACUAUCUGAGGCCAGAUUAAAGGAGUGCAGGCCCUGUAUACACCCUGAUCCUUAUCAGCAACCACACCCUUGAACCAUUGCUAUAAAACACCUCACCAAAUCCUCCUGCACUGGGACUCACAGUUGUUGAGGGCACAAGCCUGCUAUGUCCUCCAUUGGCUGGCAGAGUGAUCAAACUAAUCUUUUCUAUUUCUUCCAAAACACUGUUCUUGAGAUUCGGUUCAAAACCGGUGCAGAGAGGCUGCUUAUUCAGUAUCAGUUAGGUACAGAGUCAGGCAGUUUGUUAGAAACAGUGUCAGGUCUUUAGUUAUGGAAAGCCUCAGGGAAUUAGGGAGGGACAGACCAAGAUAUUAUGGACAGUGUCAGAGCCUUAGUUAGGGAGAGUGUCAGGGCAUGACGUAGGACCAGCAUCAGGACCGUAGUUAGGAUCAGCAUCAGGGUCUUAGUUAAAGACAUUGCCAGGACCUGAGUUAAGCACAGCAUCAGGGCCUCCAUUAGGGACAGGGUCAGUGCUUGAGUUAGGGACAGCCUCAGGGCCUGAGUUAGCGAUGGCCUCAGGGCUUACUUAGGGACAGUGUUCGGACUUUGGUGAGAGUUGCCUCAUGACAUUACCUAAGGGUAGUGUCAGGACUUUAGUUAUUGACGGCAUCAGGGCCUAUGUUAGGGACAGCUUCAGGGCCUUAGUUAGGACCAGUGUCAGGGCUUGAGUUAGGGACAACAUCAGGGCUUGAGUCAGGGACAACAUCAGGGCCUGAGUUAGGGACAGCAUCAUUGCCUGAGUUAGGGACAGCAUCAUGGCCUCUGUUAGGGACAGCAUCAGGGUCUUAGUUAAAGACAUUGUCAGGUCCUGAGUUAGGCACAGUGUGAGGGUUUACUUAGGAACAGUGACAGGACUUUGGUAAGAGAUGCGUCCCGACAUUAGCUAAGGAUAGUGUCAGGACCUUAGUUACUGAUGGUACCAGGGCCUAUGUUAGAAACAGCUUCAGGGCCUUAGUUAGGACCAGUGUCAGGGUCUUAGUUAAAGACAUUGUCAGGGUCUGAGUUAGGCACAGUGUGAGGGCUUACGUAGGGACAUUGACAGGACAUUGGUAAGAGAUGUGUCAGACAUUAGCUAAGGAUAGUGUCAGGACCUUAGUUAUUGAAGGCACCAGGGCCUAUGUUAGGACCAGCUUCAGGGCCUUACUUAGGGACAGUGUCAGGACCUUAGUUCAGAACAUCAACAGGGCUUAAAGCACAGCGUCGGGGCCUUACUUAGGGACAAUGUCAGGGCCUAGUUAGGACUAGCGUCAGGGCCUUAGUUAGGGACAGCAGCAGGGUCUUAAUUAAAGACAUUGUCAGGGCCUGAGUUAGGGACAGGGUCAGGGCCUGAGUUAGGGACUGUCAGGGCCUGAGUCAUGGACAGCUUCAAAGCCUCAGUUAGGGACAGUGUCAGGGCUUACAUAGGGACAGUGUCAGGACCUUGGUAAGAGAUGCAUCAGGAUAUUAGGUAAGGAUAGUGUCAGGACUUUAGUUAUUGACAGCAUCAGGGCCAAUGUUAGGGACAGCUUCAGGGCCUUAGUUAGGACCAGUAUCAGAGCCUGAGUUAGGCCUAGCAUCAGGGUUUGCGUUAGGACUAGCAUUAAGGCCUUAGGUAGGGACAGGCAGGGCCUGAGUUAGGAGUAGCUUCAGGGCCUUUGUUAGGGAAAGCAUCAGGGCUUUUGUUAGGAUCAGAGUCAUGACAUUAGCUAGGGACAGAGUCUGGGAAAGAGCUAGGGAUAGUGUCAGGAAGUGAGCUAGGAAUAGUGUCAAGAUGUUAGUUAUUGAGAGCAUCAGGGCCUGAGUUAGGACCAGCAUCAGGGCUUGAGGUAGGGACAGAGUCAGAGCCUGAGUUAGGGACAGCCUCAGGGCCUGUGUUAGGGACAGCCUCAGGGCCUUAGUUAGAGACAGAGUCAGGACCUGAGUUAGGGACAAUGUCAGGGCCUCAGUGAGGCCUAGCGUCAGGGCCUUAGCUAGGAUCAGCAUCAGGGUCUUAGUUAAAGACAUUAUCAGGGCCUGACUUAGGCAGAGCGUCAGGGCCUCAGUUAGGGACAGCUUCAGAGCCUGUGUUAGGUACAGCAUCAGGGCCUCACUUUGGGACGGCAUCAGGACUUUAUUAGGGACAGUGUCAGGACCUUGGUAAAAGAUGCAUCAGGACAUUAGCUAACGAUAGCGUCGGGACUUUGUGACAACAGCAGGGCCUAUGUUAGGGAGAGUCUCAGGACCUUAUAGGGACAGCGUCAGGGCAUGAGUUAGGACUAGUGUCAGGGCCUGAGUUAGGACUAGCAUCAAGGCUUUAGUUAGGGACAGUGUCAGGGCCUGAGUUAGGACUAGCAUAAGGGCCAUAUUUAGGGACAGCAUCAGGGCUUUAGUUAGGAUAAGAAGCAGGACAUUAGCUAGGGACAGCAUCAGGUUAAGGGCUAGGGAUAGUGUCAGGAAAUGAGCUAGGGAUAGUGUCAAGACCUUAGUUAUUGAGAGCAUCAGGGCCUUAAUUAGGACCAGCGACAGGGCUGAUGUAGGGACAGUGUCAGAGCCUGACUUAGGGAGAGCAACAGGGCCUGAUUUAGGGACUUCGUCAGAGCCUGGGUUAGGGACCAUGUCAGAACCUGAGUGAAGCCGAGUGUCAGGGCCUGAGUUAAAACUAGCAUCAAGGCCUUCGUUAGGGACAGUGUCAGGGCAUGUCAUAGGAGCAGCAUCAGGGCCUUUUUUAGGAGCAGCAUCAGGGUCUUAGUUAAAGACAUUAUCAGGGCCUCAGUUAGGGACAGCUUAAGGGCCUGUGUUAGGUACAGAGUCAGGACCUCUAUUAGGAACCUCCUCAGGGCUGUACCUAGGGACAGCGUGAGGGCUUACUUAGGGACAGUGUCAGGACCUUGGUAAGAGAUGGGUCAGGAUAUACGCCCAGGAUAGUGUCAGGACUUUAGUUAUGAUGGCAGCAGGUCUUUUGUUAGUGACAGCUUCAGGGCCUUAGUUAGGGACAGUGUCAGGGCCUGAGUUAGGAGUAGCAUCAAGGCCUUAGUUAGGGACAGUAUCAGGGCAUGACUUAGGAGCAGCAUCAGGGCUUUCAUAGGAUCAGCAUUAGGGUCUUAGUUAAAGACAUUAUCAGGGCCUGAGUUAGGCACAGCGUCAGGGCCUCAGUUAGGGAUAGCUUCAGGGCCUGUUAGGGACAGCGUCAGGGCUUACUUAGGGACAAUAUCAGGAUCUUGGUUAGAGAUGGGUCAGGAUAUUAGCUCAGGAUAGUGUCAGGAAUUUAGUUAUUGCCGGCAGCAGGGCCUAUACUAGGGAUAGCUUCCAGGCUUAGAGACAGUGUCAGGGCCUUAGUUAGGACUAGGCAGGGCCUGAGUUAGGAGUAGCAUCAGGGCCUUAGUUAGGGACAGUUCAGACAAAAAUAAAGAUACUCAUUUGUGGACAACAUGAAUGUUUAUACCUUUCAGUGACUCAUCUUUGCCAUCCUUCCAAAAGCUUGCUACAUUUAAGAAAUGUUAGCUACAUUGUCAUAGUUAUGUAAAAGGUAACUAAGAUUAAGAGAUCAGAUGCAGAGUUGGUGUGGGGAGGAAUGAUGCCUAUGUACGGAUGGUCACAUUUUUAAGUGGAAGAAUUAAAAAGGGGAACUGUAACUUUCACGUCUUAUCCAAACAGAGGUUUCUGCUGACAUCAAUAGAACCCUUAUUUUACCAGCAAUGCAGUUGAGCACAUAUACUAACAGUAAAAGGGUUAUAUUGUAUUUUACUCGAUUGAAAGGAAAAAGGGGACAGCACUGCUUCGCACCCGUUAACAAUGUGAUAUCAAAAUGGAAACACGUCUUUUAGGAUGAAGUCUAAUAAAUAAUUGAGAACCAC